GUGGGGAAUCUUCCACAAUGGACGAAAGUCUGAUGGAGCAACGCCGCGUGAGUGAAGAAGGGUUUCGGCUCGUAAAGCUCUGUUGUCGGGGACGAAUGUGCAGUAUUUGAAUAAAGUACUGUAAUGACGGUACCUGACGAGGAAGCCACGGCUAACUACGUGCCAGCAGCCGCGGUAAUACGUAGGUGGCAAGCGUUGUCCGGAAUUAUUGGGCGUAAAGGGAGCGCAGGCGGGAAGGUAAGUCGGUCUUAAAAGUGCGGGGCUCAACCCCGUGAUGGGAUCGAAACUAUCUUUCUUGAGUGCAGGAGAGGAAAGUGGAAUUCCUAGUGUAGCGGUGAAAUGCGUAGAUAUUAGGAGGAACACCAGUGGCGAAGGCGACUUUCUGGACUGUAACUGACGCUGAGGCUCGAAAGCCAGGGGAGCGAACGGGAUUAGAUACCCUGGUAGUCC
rnacentral:rRNA from 1 species